CUCAGGCUCCCCGUCACCGUGGGGAAUGGGAGGCAGGAGCUCCUUCUUUGGUGGCAGCAGCACCAACAUUAUUCCUCUCAUGGAUGUUCUGGUAUCAAGCCUGGAGAGGUGGCUCCUUGCUGUGGGGGAAACUGAGGCAUACAUGGACUGAUGGUUUCAUGAACAUCACAGCAGAGCCAGGGAGGGCACCAGAUACCUGAGCCCAGCUCCUGCCCAGGACUCGGGGUGAGGAACCAGGAGGACCUGAUGCAGUCUUUCAAGGUCUGCUUGGACACUGCCAGAGAAUACAGCCUUAUGCUCACCAGACAGAACCAGUGCUUUUGGAGGCCUUGGUCCAGGGAGCUGGAUUUCGACGUGGGGAACCAGAUUUCGACGUGGGGAACCAUCUUUGGACAUGGAAAAACAGCUCAGAGCUCACCCAGCCAUAUCCUUCCUGACAAGCCUGCAGUGGAGCAGCUGGGAAAGCCUCCCUGGCAAGACAAGCAGAGAGGAAGCCCAGAUCCCUCUUUUGCAAGAGAACCAGGUCAGUGGCAUGGGAAAGUCUGAACUACAACUCCCCAAAAAAAGCCUUGCCCCAACAGCCUCAGAAAAAACUGAUGAGUUGCCAGUGUUCCAUGAGCGUGGGGGUUCCUCACCCCCAGGCCCUGAUGGAAAA